UACAGAGGUCUCAAGCGUUGUUCGGAUUCAUUGGGCGUAAGGGGUGCGUAGGUGGCGGGGUAAGUCAGGUGUGAAAUCUCGGGGCUCAACCCCGAAACUGCACUUGAUACUGCCUUGCUCGAGUACUGGAGAGGAGAUUGGAAUUUACGGUGUAGCAGUGAAAUGCGUAGAUAUCGUAAGGAAGACCAGUGGCGAAGGCGAAUCUCUGGACAGUUACUGACACUGAGGCACGAAGGCCAGGGGAGCAAACGGG
rnacentral:rRNA from 1 species